rnacentral:rRNA from 1 species
AUUGAACGCUGGCGGCAGGCUUAACACAUGCAAGUCGAGCGGGGUGAUGGUGCUUGCACUAUCACUUAGCGGCGGACGGGUGAGUAAUGCUUAGGAAUCUGCCUAUUAGUGGGGGACAACAUCUCGAAAGGGAUGCUAAUACCGCAUACGUCCUACGGGAGAAAGCAGGGGAUCACUUGUGACCUUGCGCUAAUAGAUGAGCCUAAGUCGGAUUAGCUAGUUGGUGGGGUAAAGGCCUACCAAGGCGACGAUCUGUAGCGGGUCUGAGAGGAUGCUCCGCAACAGGGGGACGGAGACACGGCCCAGACUCCUACGGGAGGCAGCAGUGGGGAUUAGUGGAAAAUGGGGGGACCCCUAAUCCAGCCAUGCCGCGUGUGUGAAGAAGGCAUUAUGGUUUUAAAGCACUUUAAGUUGGGAGGAAGGGCAGUAAGCUAAUACCUUGCUUUUUUGACGUUACCGAAAGAAUAAGCCCCGGCUAACUCUGUGCCAGCCGCCGCCGUAA